CGGGAUGUAGCGCAGCACGGUAGCGCGCUAAGUUCGGGACUUAGAGGCCGCUGGUUCGAAUCCAGUCAUCCCGA
rnacentral:tRNA from 1 species